UACGGGGGGGGCAAGCGUUGUUCGGAAUUACUGGGCGUAAAGGGCGCGUAGGCGGCCUUCUAAGUCGAACGUGAAAUCCCUGGGCUCAACCCAGGAACUGUGUCCGAUACUGGAAGGCUUGAAUCCGGGAGAGGGAUGCGGAAUUCCAGGUGUAGCGGUGAAAUGCGUAGAUAUCUGGAGGAACACCGGUGGCGAAGGCGGCAUCCUGGACCGGUAUUGACGCUGAGGCGCGAAAGCCAGGGGAGCAAACGGG
rnacentral:rRNA from 1 species